UACGGAGGGGGCUAGCGUUGUUCGGAUUUACUGGGCGUAAAGCGCACGUAGGCGGAUUGUUAAGUCAGGGGUGAAAUCCUGGAGCUCAACUCCAGAACUGCCUUUGAUACUGGCAAUCUUGAGUCCGGGAGAGGUGAGUGGAACUCCGAGUGUAGAGGUGAAAAUUCGUUAGAUAUUCGGAAGAACACCAGUGGCGAAGGCGGCUCCACUGGCCCGGUACUGACGCUGAGAUCGAAAGC
rnacentral:rRNA from 1 species